UACGUAGGGCGCAAGCGUUGUCCGGAAUUAUUGGGCGUAAAGAGCUCGUAGCGGUUUGUCGCGUCUGCCGUGAAAGUCCGGGGCUCAACUCCGGAUCUGCGGUGGGUACGGGCAGACUAGAGUGAUGUAGGGGAGACUGAAUUCCUGGUGUAGCGGUGAAAUGCGCAGAUAUCAGGAGGAACACCGAUGGCGAAGGCAGGUCUCUGGGCAUUAACUGACGCUGAGGAGCGAAAGCAUGGGGAGCGAACAGG
rnacentral:rRNA from 1 species